rnacentral:rRNA from 1 species
UACGUAGGGCGCAAGCGUUAUCCGGAAUUAUUGGGCGUAAAGAGCUCGUAGGCGGUUUGUCGCGUCUGCUGUGAAAGACCGGGGCUCAACUCCGGUUCUGCAGUGGGUACGGGCAGACUAGAGUGCAGUAGGGGGAGACUGGAAUUCCUGGUGUAGCGGUGAAAUGCGCAGAUAUCAGGAGGAACACCGGUGGCGAAGGCGGGUCUCUGGGCAACAACUGACGCUGAGGAGCGAAAGCGUGGGGAGCGAACAGG